AACGAACGCUGGCGGCAUGCCUAACACAUGCAAGUCGAACGAAGUCUUCGGACUUAGUGGCGCACGGGUGCGUAACGCGUGGGAAUCUGCCCUUGGGUGCGGAAUAACUUCUCGAAAGGGAUGCUAAUACCGCAUAAUGUCGUAAGACCAAAGAUUUAUCGCCCAAGGAUGAGCCCGCGUAAGAUUAGCUAGUUGGUGGGGUAAAAGCCUACCAAGGCGACGAUCUUUAGCUGGUCUGAGAGGAUGAUCAGCCACACUGGGACUGAGACACGGCCCAGACUCCUACGGGAGGCAGCAGUGGGGAAUAUUGGGCAAUGGGCGAAAGCCUGAUCCAGCAAUGCCGCGUGCAGGAUGAAGGCCUUCGGGUCGUAAACUGCUUUUAUAAGUGAAGAAUAAUGACGGUAACUUAUGAAUAAGCACCGGCUAACUACGUGCCAGCAGCCGCGGUAAU
rnacentral:rRNA from 1 species